CAAAGGCUGGCUUCCCACCACCUAGAAUAGACAGAGCAGCAGCUGCUGUACCACUGUGACCCUGUGGGGUUCAGGAAACUUCCCUGGGUUCUGGGUCAGUGGGGCAUUCCGGGCCACUCUCACAUACAUCGUGCUGAAGGUAACCUUCUCUGCUUUUCUAGGAUGUCAACAUUUUGUUUGUGGUCUCGGGGAUGCUGCAUGUGUACCAGCAAAAGAUUGACAGCCUGGAGGACACUUGCCUGUUUCUCACCCAUCCUGGGGAGAUGGUGGGGCAACUGGCAGUGCUCACUGGAGAGCCCCUAAUGUUCACCAUCAGAGCCAACCGGGACUGCAGCUUUCUGUCCAUCUCGAAGGCCCACUUCUAUGAGAUCAUGAGGAAGCGGCCGGAUGUCGUCCUGGGCGUGGCCCACACAGUUGUGAGGAGGAUGUCGUCCUUUGUGCGGCAGAUUGACUUUGCACUGGACUGGAUGGAAGUAGAGGCUGGGCGUGCCAUAUACAGGCAAGGGGACAAGUCUGACUGCACAUACAUCGUCCUCAGCGGCAGGCUGCGGUCUGUGAUCCGAAAGGAUGAUGGGAAAAAACGCCUGGCAGGGGAGUAUGGCCGAGGAGACCUCGUUGGUGUGGUAGGUGCCAGCUACCCUUUGCCUUGUGACACUCCAGGACCUGCCUGUCUAGUUACCUGAGGAGGAGGAAGCCC
rnacentral:lncRNA from 14 species